AAGUCGUAACAAGGUCUCCGUUGGUGAACCAGCGGAGGGAUCAUUAGCGAGUUAAUUAUAAACUCCAAACCCAUGUGAACUUACCUACUGUUGCCUCGGCAGGCCGUGCUAUACGGCACGGCUAAGCUGCCCUGCAGCGGACCUACCCUGGAGAGGAGCUACCCUGGAGUAGAGUUGGGCUUGCGCGCUGGAGAGAAGCUACCCUGGAGUAAUGAACGCUACGGCUGAAUUUACCCUGGAGAGGAGCUGCCCUGGUGCGGAGCUUAGCUCUCACUCUGGAGAGAGGCUACCCUGGAGUAGGAAAGCUACCAGCAGUGCAGCGCCUACCCUGUAGCACGCUACAAGGCCUGCCGAAGGACCCCUAAAUUCUGAAUUAUACUGUAUCUCUGAGCGAAUUAUACAAAUAAGUUAAAACUUUCAACAACGGAUCUCUUGGUUCUGGCAUCGAUGAAGAACGCAGCGAAAUGCGAUAAGUAAUGUGAAUUGCAGAAUUCAGUGAAUCAUCGAAUCUUUGAACGCACAUUGCGCCUAAUAGUAUUCUGUUAGGCAUGCCUGUUCGAGCGUCAUUUCAACCCCCAAGCCCUAUUUGCUUGACGUUGGGAGCUUACAGCUGCUGUAACUCCUUAAAUUUAGUGGCGGAGCUAGGUCAUGCUCUGAGCGUAGUAAUUCUUUUUUCUCUCGCUCCUGAUGCUGCCCUAUAUCCUGCCGUAAAACCCCCCCUAAAUUUUAUUCUGGUUGACCUCGGAUCAGGUAGGAAUACC
rnacentral:rRNA from 1 species